rnacentral:misc_RNA from 1 species
GAAAUGCGAUACGUAGUGUGAAUUGCAGAAUUCAGUGAAUCAUCGAAUCUUUGAACGCACAUUGCGCCCUUUGGUAUUCCAAAGGGCAUGCCUGUUCGAGCGUCAUUUGUACCCUCAAGCUUUGCUUGGUGUUGGGCGUUUUUUGUCUUUGGCUCGCCCAAAGACUCGCCUUAAAACGAUUGGCAGCCGGCCUACUGGUUUCGCAACGCAGCACAUUUUUGCGCUUGCAAUCAGCAAAAGAGGACGGCAAUCCAUCAAGACUCCUUCUCACGUUUGACCUCGGAUCAGGUAGGGAUACCCGCUGAACUUAAGC